rnacentral:tRNA from 1 species
UAGAAAGUAAUAUAAGGGAAGUAUGGAGGGCUUUGAUCCCUCUAGUGCGGGUUCGAUUCCUGCUUUUCUAA